rnacentral:piRNA from 1 species
UACGCACCAUGUUUUCUUCAACUUUAUCCC